rnacentral:lncRNA from 1 species
AUCUAUCAGUGACACCUAGUAGUAUGUAGUGUUAAUCCAGCAGAGUAGAAGUAUUGAACCUCUAGGUGCAGUUAUUAUGUGAUUCAGUCCUUCUAUCAUGAGUUUCAAAUAGACAGAGGUUAUGAAAAACUUAUCAAAUUCUAAUAUCAAUCAUAUGCCAAAUUGGCUCGACUCGAGUUCAUUAUGAAUCUCGUGAAAAUUUCUUUCUAGUAUUCACACUUACUU